AUGGGCGUGCCAGAGUGGUUAUCGGGCAUGGCUAGAAAUCAUGUGGGCUCUACCCGCGCAGGUUCGAAUCCUGCCGCUCAGG